rnacentral:rRNA from 1 species
AGAGUUUGAUCAUGGCUCAAGACGAACGCUGGCGGCGUGCUUAACACAUGCAAGUCGAACGGAGUGCUCCGGAAAGAGAUUUCGGUCAAUGGAUGGAGUUACUUAGUGGCGGACGGGUGAGUAACGCGUGAGGAACCUGCCUUUCAGAGGGGGACAACAGUUGGAAACGACUGCUAAUACCGCAUAACGCAUGGGUAUCGCAUGGUAUCUGUGCCAAAGAUUUAUCGCUGAGAGAUGGCCUCGCGUCUGAUUAGCUAGUUGGUGAGGUAACGGCCCACCAAGGCGACGAUCAGUAGCCGGACUGAGAGGUUGGCCGGCCACAUUGGGACUGAGAUACGGCCCAGACUCCUACGGGAGGCAGCAGUGGGGAAUAUUGGGCAAUGGGCGCAAGCCUGACCCAGCAACGCCGCGUGAAGGAAGAAAGCUUUCGGGUUGUAAACUUCUUUUAAGAGGGAAGAGCAGAAGACGGUACCUCUUGAAUAAGCCACGGCUAACUACGUGCCAGCAGCCGCGGUAAUACGUAGGUGGCAAGCGUUGUCCGGAUUUACUGGGUGUAAAGGGCGUGUAGCCGGGCUGACAAGUCAGAUGUGAAAUUCCGGGGCUCAACCCCGGACCUGCAUUUGAAACUGUUGGUCUUG